GUGCUGUGUUAUGCAAAUGUUCCUGCAGUUUUCUAAUCUUUAUUGUAAAAAAUCAUGUUACACAAGAGCUACUUGUAAUUACUAUUAUAAAAAUAAUACCAAUGAUAUUUGGAUUUUGGAGAUGAAGUCGAUAUAUGUAAUUUUAACAAAACGAAUACAACAUGCAAUAGAACAGAAGUCAACAUGCAAUAGAACACAAAACCGAACAGUACACACUUCAUUGCUUGAUCAAUUCACAAUAAGCUCUGAAUCGUUCUGUACUUGUUGAAAUGUAAACAUUUACUUAAAUACAGUCAAAUCUCAGUUCACAAACACCACAGAUCACAAACAGUUCAGUUUACGAAUAAAUUUUCCAAACACAAAGCAUCCUGGAUUAUGUACUGUGUCUUGAGUUACAAACACACAAACCAUCAACAUAAACAUUUUUAAUGAUAAUGCUAUAUGUCAUUUUUAAAACAUUUUAAAACGUAGACAAAAUAAAUCACACUAGACAACUUUUUAGUGAAACAGAGGCCCAGUGGGUCUGAAACAGAAUUGAAUGGUGCCAAGAGACAGAAAAAAGAAAAAGAAUCCUCUAUCAAACAAUAACAUUUCACUUUCCUC
rnacentral:lncRNA from 1 species